rnacentral:lncRNA from 1 species
GUUUGUAGAAGUGAACCGAUUUCCUUUUUGAGCUUCCAAAGCCCCAGAUAACCUUCAGACAAUUCAUAGAGAAAACCUAAAAAAGUAGAUAAUAUAUUAACUUCCCUACCGAUAUCUACAGUGUCAACAUUUGACUGGAAAAAUGAAUUCGUUGUAUCAGUGUUUGCACCUCAAGUUUGUAGGGCAACUCUUACAGAUUGUAUAACAAGAGCUAGCCCAUCUCUGCUUAUGUCUCAUGAGUACACAUUUAACCUUCCUCACGGCCUGGACAAGGUCAACCACUUUUCAGGGCAGUCAAUCUCAAAGUUCUUUGACCAGAGGAGUUUUUGUCCUGAAGCCACCGUUCCCGCCUCUGUUCCCACAGGACUAGUUCUACAUCAAUGAAGGCCAUCAGCAUGUACGUCCUUCUCCAUAAAACCAUGCAGCCUAACUUGGAAGCUGCUACAGCUUGCAUCCUGGCCUGCAGCCUUGCCUUCCCAGGGCCAAACUCUGUUCUUCCGCGACCCAGAGAUUUGGGUGCUUUGAGAACUGGGAGGUAAAAGGGGUGGGUGCGUGGAGGAAGGCCAACUGAGAGUCAGAAGACCUCAGUUUCAGCCCUGGUGGUUCCAUUCACCCUGUGCGACCUUGAGGGGUGUCCCUCAUGUCUCUGGCCUGUAGAUUCUUCAUCGAUAAAAGAAAAAGGUGACUUGAGAUGGUCUCAGAGGCCUUGUUAGUUCCAGUUACCUGUGACUCAUAGUGGGGAGGUGUUGGUGAAAGGGCUGGAGAGGACCCUGUGGGGGACCAAUUUCUCCACACUUUUGUAUGCACCACUUCAUCCCAAAUAUUUGAUAACCUUACUUGGUCUCUGAAACUUUUAUGCAAAAAGACUUUUAAAAAAUCUUAUACUUUUAUUCCUCUGCAGUUUCAGUCUCUGGGAUCUGGCCUCUGUGCAGACAUAAGGAUGUUGAAAGGAAUGAUGGCAUCCACCAAUCCAACCUCCCACUGGCACAGUCACCUAAAGGCUUGUGAAAAUCUCCAUUGCAUCAACCCCAGUAUCAAAGCCUCAGUGUGCCUCACUUUGCUAGGAGCGAUGCCACAUCUCCCAUUCCUGGAUAGAGGGAGGGCUCCAGGAGAACUGAAGUGUGUGAGUCCCUGUGGCCUGGAAGGAGAGGAGAGAAACCAGGGGCAUAGUCUGGGGCCAUAGUGCCAAGGACUGAGUAUCCUGGGGCUUCCAGCUGCAGGAACGGUGCCUGAGGAUGGAAGCUGGAGGCCAGGACCAGGUGGACAGCUCCUAAUCAGGUAGCCAGCAAACAACAAAUUGGGGAUGCUACGUUAGAACUAGGAAGAAAAGACGAUGCUACGUUAGAACUAAGAAGAAAAGACGAUGCUACGUUAGAACUAGGGAGAAAAGACGAUGCUACGUUAGAACUAGGGAGAAAAGACGAUGCUACGUUAGAACUAGGAAGAAAAGACAGUUCAAGCAGGACAUCAGUAAGCUGUAAGUCAGCUAAGGGAGAAGAGGAAAAAGCAGGUUGAAAAUGGACAGUGGAUGGUGUAGGGCCUGGAUCUUUUCUUGCACCGCAGUGAAAGUGGUUGUGGAAACGUUUUACACAGUUCCUGAGGCAUUUAAAGGGGAAAUGCCAGCCAGAGUGGACCCAGAGUGCAUGAGUUGGGCAAAGAUUUGCUUUUUAUUUCUUUUUUUUAUUUUCCAAAGAAGAGAUCUCCAUUUAGAGCCCCAGUCCCACUCUGUCAGGACAUCCUGAAUCUCAGUCCCCAGGUCCACAAAAGACCUCCCGUCCCCCCAACAGCUGUGCAUUGACCUCACUGACUACACACAGCCCCAAGCCCAUGUCGAGUCAAAACCACCAUCCCUCAGCCUGUGGGCCAGGUACCGGGUUCAGUGCACUCAGUGACGCAAGAGCCCUGGGCAGCUGUCCUGGAGCCACUGGCCAAGCCCAUGGAAACAGCCCUCCUUGUCACUCACCCGCUGUCACUCCAGGGAGCUGGGGAGUCUGCACCCUGGCAGCAGGGAAAGGGGUCUGAUGUUCCAUGUUUUUUAAUGAACGUUUUUGUUCUAUGUAUUUAUUUUUAUAUUUAUUUAUUUACAUAUUUAUGUAUUUAUUUAUUUUUUAAGAGAUGGUAUCUCGCUCUGUUGCCCACGCUGGAGUUGUGUGAUGCUGUCUCGGCUCACUGCAACUUCCACCUCUCAGAUUCAAGAGAUUCUCCUGCUUCAGCUUCCCAAGUAGCUGGGACUAUAGGUAUGCACCUCUACGCCCAGCUAAUUUUUAUAUUUUAGUAAAGACAGCGUUUCACUAUAUGUUGGUCAGGGUGGUCUCAAACUCCUGACCUCAGGUGAUCCAGGUGAUCCAACUGCCUUGGCCUCCCAAAGUGCUGGGAUUACAGGCAUGAGCCACUGCACCCAGCCUAUUUAUUUUUAAUUAAUAGACUUUUUAAAGCAGUUUUAGGUUUACAGAAUAGUUUAUUGGAAAAUCCAAAAACUCCCAUAGAUCCCCUUACCCUCCCUACACAUCUUCCUUAUUUUUAACAUCUUGCCUAAAUGUGGUAUGUUUGUUACAAUUGAUGAGCCAAGAGUGAGACAUCAUUUCACUAAAUGUACAUACUUUACAUUAGGGGCCACUGUUGGUAUUAUACACUCUAUGGAUUUUGACAAAUAUGUAAUGACAUGUGCCCAUCAUUACAGUAUUAUAUAGAAUAGUUUCACUUCCCUAAAGGUCCUCUGUGCUCCACCAAUGCAUCCCUCCCUCCCCCUGACGCCCACCAGCCCCCGGCACUCAAUGACCUGUCUUCAUAGUUUUCUAGAGUGCCUUAUAGUUGGAAUCAUACAGAAUAUACCCCUUUCAGAUUGGUUUUUUUACUUAGCAAUAUGCAUUUAAGGUUCCUGUAUGUCUUUUCAUGAUUUGAUAGCUCAUUUCUAAAAAACCACUGAACGUUUCAUUGUCCGAAUGUACCACAGUUUGACAGACAACUUGGUUGCUUCCAAGUUUUGGCAAUUAUGAUUAAAGCUGCUAUAGACAGUCACGUGCGGGGUUUUUGCAGACAUAAGUUUUCAAUUCAUUUGGGUAAAUACCUAGGAGAACAAUUGCUAGAUUUAUGGUAAGAGUGUGUUUAAUUUUAUUAUUUUAAAAAACUGCCAAGCUGUCUUCAACAGUAGCUGUACCAGUUUGCAUUUCCACCAGAAAUAAACAAGAGUUCCUGUUGCUCCACAUCCUUGCCAAUAUUUGAUGUUGUCAGCAUUUUGGAUUUUACUGUUCUAAUAAGUGUAUAGUGGUAUCUCAUUCUUUUACUUUGCAAUCCUCUGACGACAUGAUGUUGAUUAUUUCUUCAUAGGCUUAUUUGCCAGCUGCAUAUCUUGUUUGGUGAGGUGUCUGUUCUGACAUUUUCCCCAUUUUUAAAUUAGGUUGUUGGUUUUCUUAUGGUUGAGUUGUGACAGUUCUUUUCAGAUGCCAGUCCUUUAUCCAAUAAGUUUGCAAACGUUAUUUCCCAGUCUGACUCAUGUUUUUAUUCUUCUAGCAGUGUGUUUCACAGAGUGGAAGUUUUUAAUUAUAAUGCCGUCCAACUUGUCAGUUUGUUCUUUCAUGGAUUAUGCUUUUGGCAUUGUAACUAAAAUGUCAUCACCAAACCAAAGCUCACCUAGCUUAUCACCUAUGUUAUAUGCUGGAAAUUUUAUAGUUUUGCAUUUUACAUUUAGGUCUACGAUCCAUUUGAGUUCAUUGUGAAAGGUGUAAGGUCUGCGUAUUAUUUUGUAUGUGGAUGUCCAAUUGCUCCAAAACUGUCUGUUGAAAAGCCUCUUUCUCCAUUAAGUGGUCUUUGCUUCUUUGUCAAAGGUUAGUUGAGUAUGUUUGUGUAGAUCUAUAUCUGGGCUCUCCAUUCUGUUCCAUUGAUCCAUUUGUCUGUUCUUUUGCCAGUAGGGCACUGUGUUGUUUACUAUAACUUUAUGUUAAAUCUUAAAGUCACGUACAGGUAGUCCUCCAACUUUCCUCUUCCAGUGAAUCUUUUUUUUUUUUUUUUGGAUUUUUGCCUUUUCCAAUUAUCUUUAGAAUCAGUUUUGUUAAAAUAUCUACAGGAUAACUAGCUGGGACUUUAAUUGGGAUUGCAUUAAAUCCAUAGACCAGGUAGAGAAGAACUGACAUCUUGAUAAUAUUGAGUAUUCCUGUCCAUGUCCAUGGAAUAUCUAUUUUAUUUACAUCUUCUUUGAUUUCUUUCAUGAGAUUUUGGUAGUUUUCUUCAUAUGAAUAUUGUACAUAUUUUGUUAGAUGUUUACAUAAGUACUUUUUGCUGGUAAUAUAGACAGCAUUGAGCUUUUAAUUUUAAAUUCUAGUCAUUCAUUUCUCAAAAGAAAGCAUAACCUGUAUUCUGCAACUUUGUCAUAAUCACUUAUUAGUUCCAAG